GAUGAACGCUGGCGGCGUGCCUAAUACAUGCAAGUCGAGCGAACGGACGAGAAGCUUGCCUCUCUGAUGUUAGCGGCGGACGGGUGAGUAACACGUGGAUAACCUACCUAUAAGACUGGUAUAACUUCGGGAAACCGGAGCUAAUACCGGAUAAUAUUUUGAACCGCAUGGUUCAAAAGUGAAAGACGGCCUUGCUGUCACUUAUAGAUGGAUCCGCGCUGCAUUAGCUAGUUGGUAAGGUAACGGCUUACCAAGGCAACGAUGCAUAGCCGACCUGAGAGGGUGAUCGGCCACACUGGAACUGAGACACGGUCCAGACUCCUACGGGAGGCAGCAGUAGGGAAUCUUCCGCAAUGGGCGAAAGCCUGACGGAGCAACGCCGCGUGAGUGAUGAAGGUCUUCGGAUCGUAAAACUCUGUUAUUAGGGAAGAACAUAUGUGUAAGUAACUGUGCACAUCUUGACGGUACCUAAUCAGAAAGCCACGGCUAACUACGUG
rnacentral:rRNA from 1 species